UGACUAGUAACCAACCAGCCUUUAAGUAAACAAGUUCUAAAAUUGGGGAUGACCAAACAUAACGGUGCUAUUUUUAAGAUCUAACCAUAAACCACAAAAUAUUUAAUUAGUAGUAAUGUUGGGCUAUGCUUUAAACAGUUAAACAGUGUGGAAGCUGCUAUUUGAAAUCGACAAAACCCUAAAUUGUUACAACUACUAUAAAAUCACAGAUGUUUUCGUUGGCAAUGGAAAAGAGGAAGCUCUUUCUACAAAGAAUUGAAGAGAAUCUCAGGUCAGUACCCUGUUCAACUGAAGUCACUUCAUGCUUAAUGAAGAGUAACGUCUGCUAUACUUUAUCCUCCUUUGGGACUACAAUUGGUAUCUUGUUGUUUCAGAAGUUUCUGUCUUUCACUUUACUUCCGAAGCAGAUGAUGAGUUACUCGGAUUCCCCUUCUAGACAUCAUGGGUGAUGCAAAAACCGAGUUUCUGAUGCAACUUUGCAUUUUCCUUUCUGACUCUCUAUUUAUUGAGUUCUUACAUUUGUUUCAUGUUCAAACUGGUGCUGUAUUUCUGAAAUUGUGUUUCAGAGUUUUUUUUCUUCUUUGACUUUACUUAAAAAGCACAUGAUGAGUUACUCGGAUUCCCCUUCAAGAUAUCAUGGGUGAUGCAAAAAUCGAGUUUCUGAUGCUCUAUUUUAUUUAUGGGAUCUUUGGAGUUUUUACAUCAUUUGCUGUUUGUUUUUUACUUCAAGAGGGGAUGCAAUUCAAAAAUAUUGGCAGGUGCAUGUCAGGUUCUCCAAAAGUAGUGUAUUUUUGGAGAAUCUGGCACGGGUGCUACAUCGAAAGUGGAGAGCGCAACUUAGGAUGGAAGAGUCUUAUUCUUUUCAGCUUUAGAGUAACAAUAACUAUAGGGACAAGGAAUUUUAUGGCUAUGUUAAUACAUUUCGUUUCAAUAUUUCAUUGAAUCGUCACUAGAUUGUUAUCUAGUUUGUUGUUACAUCUUCGGUAUCAACUUUCAUUAGCUGCUUUGACCUGCUAUAUUUGCCAUACCAGUAAGUAGUUGUCUAUCUGUUUGUCUGGUAGAGCAGAAACUUUUGUAAUGCUUAAGCAGAAAAGAAGUUCAACAUUUGAUUCUUUUGGGAUCUUCACAACGGAAUCUUUCCAGUGGAUCCAUCAAAUGUGUAUUUUGGAUUAACCCUUUCACGGGCAAAGAUUUUAGCUCUCAAUGCAUCACACUUAUUAAAAGUUGGAGGGCAUUUUGACAUAUCAAUUAAGGUAUGUAUUGUAGUUAGACACUUUAUACCACAGUUACUAUUUGAUGUAGUGAAGAUAACUCGUGAUUCUAGGACGAGAUCAAUUCCCUUUUGUCUGGGAAAGCCUUGUCUGUAUGAUUUUUUCAUAUGUAAGAUUUUCUUCUAUGUUAAAGGCAAACUACAUAGAUUAAACCGUGCCUGCUGAGGCUGUAGAAGGUGCAAGUGGAGCAGCUUAAACCUAGGGAGCAAGUCACCCUCGAACCUAAUGAAAGAGACCAUGCUUGUGUUGUAGAUGCCUAUCGAUCAGGUGCCCAAGAAGCAAAAGGUUGCUGCCUAGUUGCUAGUUUUCUUAUUGAUGUGGUCAGGUUUUUUAGUGAGGAGGUUACUUAUUUUUUAUUUAAAGCAUUUCCAAUGUUACUGUGAUUUGACAGAAGGUCUUAAUUUUUUCUUGUUAAAGUAUUGUCAUGUUACUGUGAUUCGAUCUGUGUCUCAAUGUUUGACGAAAGAUUGCUAAUACUGAUGGUGGUUGGUUGGUGCAAGUAGUAAAAAGUAAGAAGUUAAAGAUUUUUAUAUGGAAAAAAUACUUUCAUUUC